GGGUUAAUAAUCUAGUUUAUGUAAAGUUUAACUCAUCAAGUUCCACAUUAACAUAUAGUUUUCCCAAUGCUUUUGCAAAUGAAAGUGAAUAUUAAUGUGAAGAUAAUUAAAAUUUGUAAUUAUAAUUCAACAUAAUAAAGCAGAAAUUAAGGAAAAUAUAAUUUACUUUCUUUUCAUAUGACUUGGUACAUAAGUAACUAGCCCAAGCUUAGUUCAAGCCAAGAAUAGAUUUUGUAUGAAUAUAUUCAAUUACUAAAAUUUAAAAUCCAC
rnacentral:lncRNA from 1 species